UGAGCAGGCAGGUGUUUUAUCUUCCAUGGU
rnacentral:piRNA from 1 species